rnacentral:rRNA from 1 species
UACGGGGGGAGCAAACGUUGUUCGGAAUCAUUGGGCGUAAAGCGCGCGUAGGCGGCCCUGUAAGUCCGUUGUGAAAGUCAAAGGCUCAACCUUUGAAAGCCGAUGGAUACUGCAGGGCUAGAGUCCGGAAGAGGCGAGUGGAAUUCCUGGUGUAGCGGUGGAAUGCGCAGAUAUCAGGAGGAACACCAAUAGCGAAGGCAGCUCGCUGGGACGGUACUGACGCUAAGGCGCGAAAGCGUGGGGAGCGAACAGG